AAAUUUUAAAAUUAUAAUACUAAAAUAGUAAAUAAUUAUUUAUUAAAACUUAAAUAAUUUGGCGGUAUUUUAGUUUAUUUAGAGGAAUCUGUUUAAUAAUUGAUAUUCCACGAAUAAAUUUACUUAAUUUAUAAUUUUGUAUAUCGUUGUUAUAAAAAUAUUU
rnacentral:rRNA from 1 species